GGGGCUGAUUCUGGAUUCGACGGGAUUUGCGAAACCCAAGGUGCAUGCCGAGGGGCGGUUGGCCUCGUAAAAAGCCGCAAAAAAUAGUCGCAAACGACGAAAACUACGCUUUAGCAGCUUAAUAACCUGCUUAGAGCCCUCUCUCCCUAGCCUCCGCUCUUAGGACGGGGAUCAAGAGAGGUCAAAUCCAAAAGAGAUCGCGUGGAAGCCCUGCCUGGGGUUGAAGCGUUAAAACUUAAUCAGGCUAGUUUGUUAGUGGCGUGUCCGUCCGCAGCUGGCAAGCGAAUGUAAAGACUGACUAAGCAUGUAGUACCGAGGAUGUAGGAAUUUCGGACGCGGGUUCAACUCCCGCCAGCUCCACCA
rnacentral:tmRNA from 2 species